AUUGAACGCUGGCGGCAGGCCUAACACAUGCAAGUCGAGCGGAUGAAUGGAGCUUGCUCCUGGAUUCAUCGGCGGACGGGUGAGUACUGCCUAUGAAUCUGCCUUGUCUUGGGGGAUAACGUCCUGAAACGGGCGCUAAUACCGCAUACGUCCUGAUGGAGACAGUGGGGGAUCUUCGGACCUCACGCUAUCAUAUUAGCCUAGGUCGGAUGAACUAGGUGGUGGGGUAAAGGCCUACCAAGGCGACUAUCCGUAACUGGUCUGAGAGGAUGAUCAGUCACAUUGGAAGUGAGACACGGUACAGACUCUUACGGGAGGAAGCAGUGGGGAAUAUUGGACAAAGGGGGAAAGGGUGAUAAAGCAAAGCCGCGUGUGUGAAGAAGGUCUUAGGAUUGUAAAGCAAUUUAAGUUGGGAGGAAGGGAAGUAAGUUAAUACGUGGCUGUUAUGACGUUACCAAGAGAAUAAGCACCGGCUAACUUCGUG
rnacentral:rRNA from 1 species